CUGGCGGCGUGCCUAAUGCAUGCAAGUCGAACGGUCUUUCUAUGGAAGCUUGCUUCCACUGAGAAGAUAGUGGCGAACGGGUGAGUAACACGUGGGUAACCUGCCCAUAAGAGGGGGAUAACAUCCGGAAACGGGUGCUAAUACCGCAUAGUUUUCUUGAUCGCAUGAUCGGGAAAGGAAAGACGGCCUUUGUGCUGUCGCUUAUGGAUGGACCCGCGGCGUAUUAGUUAGUUGGUGAGGUAACGGCUCACCAAGACGAUGAUACGUAGCCGACCUGAGAGGGUGAUCGGCCACAUUGGGACUGAGACACGGCCCAAACUCCUACGGGAGGCAGCAGUAGGGAAUCUUCCGCAAUGGACGAAAGUCUGACGGAGCAACGCCGCGUGAGUGAAGAAAAGGUUUUCGGAUCGUAAAACUCUGUUGUCAGAGAAGAACAAGUUGGAGAGUAACUGCUCCAGCCUUGACGGUAUCUGACCAGAAAGCCACGGCUAACUACGUGCCAGCAGCGGC
rnacentral:rRNA from 1 species